GGUGGUUGCAGUUUGGCUAAUGAGCCUUUUUUCAUAAUGUGGCUGAUUAUCUCAGGAGACAUGAGCUGAAGGGUCUGCAUUAAUCCCAGUCUGAAACAAACCCAGGAACAGAACUCUGAGGCCUGUGUUUUCUGUUGGGAAAUGUGCCUGUCCCAGGGACUCAGGUGGAGAGCUGCUGUGCUGUCCAGGGACCAGAUCAGCUGGAGGAAGACCAGAAGCAAAUAAUGACAGCACAGCAGCAGCUUGCAACUGAACUGGAAGGUGAAAAUAAUAAAUUCAUGUUAAAAAGAAAUUACUGAAGAUAUUGCAGUGAAGAGGAAAGAAGAAAAACACAAGAGGGUGUUAACCUCAACAUAGUAGCAGUAACUAGGUGGUUGUUUGGUCACCACAUAAACCGAUGGAUCACACAGCCUAAAGAAAGUAUAGACCUUUGUGAAAUACUAAGUGCAGUAGAAGAACUUCAGUCCAAUUCUUGUUUGUAAAAUAAAUUGUUUUGUUUUAAGUAAAGUUAGACAAGUCUUCAACACCUGUGAACCACUCCCUGGA